rnacentral:rRNA from 1 species
AUUGAACGCUGGCGGCAUGCCUAACACAUGCAAGUCGAGCGAGCGGCGGACGGGUGAGUAAUGCAUAGGAACGUGCCUGGUAGCGGGGGAUAACUACGGGAAAGGGUCGCUAAUACCGCAUACUCUUGGCACGGCAGAUCUGGGAUUAGAUAGUUGGUGGGGUAACGGCUUACCAAGGCGACGAUCCGUACCUGGUUUGAGAGGAAGACCAGCCACACUGGGACUGAGACACGGCCCAGACUCCUACGGGAGGCAGCAGUGGGGAAUAUUGGACAAUGGGCGAAACCCUGAUCCAGCCAUGCCGCGUGUGUGAUGAAGGCCUUCGGGUUGUAAAGUACUUUAAGUCGGGAGGCGUUACCUACAGAAUAAGCACCGGCUAACUCCGUGCCAGCAGCCGCGGUAAUAC